rnacentral:rRNA from 1 species
UACGUAGGGUCCGAGCGUUGUCCGGAUUCAUUGGGUUUAAAGGGUGCGCAGGCGGGCCAUUAAGUCAGGGGUGAAAGACGGUUGCUCAACAAUCGCAGUGCCUUUGAUACUGGUGGUCUUGGGUGACCUUGAGGUAGGCGGAAUGGGUGGUGUAGCGGUGAAAUGCAUAGAUACCACCCAGAACUCCGAUUGCGAAGGCAGCCUACUGGAGGUUAACCGACGCUCAGGCACGAAAGCGUGGGGAGCAAACGGG